UAACACGUGGGUAACCUGCCUUAUAGUGGGGGAUAGCCUUUCGAAAGGAAGAUUAAUACCGCAUAAGAUUGUAGUAUCGCAUGAUAUAGCAAUUAAAGGAGCAAUUCGCUAAUAAGAUGGACCCGCGUCGCAUUAGCUAGUUGGUGAGGUAAUGGCUCACCAAGGCGACGAUGCGUAGCCGACCUGAGAGGGUGAUCGGCCACAUUGGGACUGAGACACGGCCCAGACUCCUACGGGAGGCAGCAUG
rnacentral:rRNA from 1 species